AUUGAACGCUGGCGGAAUGCUUUACACAUGCAAGUCGAACGGUAGAGGGGGCAACCCCUUGAGAGUGGCGAACGGGUGAGUAAUAUAUCGGAACGUGCCCAGUCGUGGGGAUAACGUAAGCGAAAGUUACGCUAAUACCGCAUACGAUACUAUGGAUGGAAAGCGGGGGAUCGCAAGACCUCGCGCGAUUGGAGCGGCCGAUAUCAGAUUAGGUAGUUGGUGAGGUAAAGGCUCACCAAGCCGACGAUCUGUAGCUGGUCUGAGAGGACGACCAGCCACACUGGGACUGAGACACGGCCCAGACUCCUACGGGAGGCAGCAGUGGGAAUUUGGACAAUGGCGCAAGCCUGAUCCAGCAAUGCCGCGUGCAGGAUCG
rnacentral:rRNA from 1 species